rnacentral:rRNA from 1 species
AGUGAACGCUGGCGGUAGGCCUAACACAUGCAAGUCGAACGGCAGCACAGUAAGAGCUUGCUCUUACGGGUGGCGAGUGGCGGACGGGUGAGGAAUACAUCGGAAUCUACUUUUUCGUGGGGGAUAACGUAGGGAAACUUACGCUAAUACCGCAUACGACCUACGGGUGAAAGCAGGGGAUCUUCGGACCUUGCGCGAUUGAAUGAGCCGAUGUCGGAUUAGCUAGUUGGCGGGGUAAAGGCCCACCAAGGCGACGAUCCGUAGCUGGUCUGAGAGGAUGAUCGGCCACACUGGAGCUGAGACACGGUCCAGACUCCUACGGGAGGCAGCAGUGGGGAAUAUUGGACAAUGGGCGCAAGCCUGAUCCAGCCACACCGCGUGGGUGAAGAAGGCCUUCGGGUUGUAAAGCCCUUUUGUUGGGAAAGAAAAGCAGCAGGUUAAUACCCCGCUGUUCUGACGGUACCCAAAGAAUAAGCACCGGCUAACUUCGUG